GACGAACGCUGGCGGCGUGCUUAACACAUGCAAGUCGAACGGAAAGGCCCUGCUUUUGUGGGGUGCUCGAGUGGCGAACGGGUGAGUAACACGUGAGUAACCUGCCCUUGACUUUGGGAUAACUUCAGGAAACUGGGGCUAAUACCGGAUAGGAGCUCCUGCUGCAUGGUGGGGGUUGGAAAGUUUCGGCGGUUGGGAAUGGACUCGCGGCUUAUCAGCUUGUUGGUGGGGUAGUGGCUUACCAAGGCUUUGACGGGUAGCCGGCCUGAGAGGGUGACCGGCCACAUUGGGACUGAGAUACGGCCCAGACUCCUACGGGAGGCAGCAGUGGGGAAUAUUGCACAAUGGGCGUAAGCCUGAUGCAGCAACGCCGCGUGCGGGAUGACGGCCUUCGGGUUGUAAACCGCUUUCGCCUGUGACGAAGCGUGAGUGACGGUAAUGGGUAAAGAAGCACCGGCUAACUACGUG
rnacentral:rRNA from 1 species